AUGGUCUUUAGGGUCCCUUCCAAGCCCAAGCACCCAGGGAUUCCAUCAUUCUAUGGUCUCCGUUGUCCUCUUCAGCCUGGGCCUGAACUCCUGGCGGUGAUGUCACAGUUCACGCUCCAGCUAGAACUUCCAGCAUCCAGCAACGGCCACGACACAACCCUUGGCUCCUUGUGUCAGCACGCUCUUCACCCUGCUCCAAGGCUACCCCUGUCACCUUGUUGCCACCUGCUCCCUGAUUCCCCCAGCAGUCCCCAAAGCUCGCCAUUGUGUGCAUUUUCUUCUCCAUCCCUGCACGAUGUCUGCAUUUGCUCCAAAGAAGGCUGGCACAGACAGAGAGGAGGAGAUGGAGGUCGAUACACAGACUGAUAGAGAAGAAGCCAUGGAAGUGGAUGGAGAGGAUACUGGAGACGAAGAGAUGGAUGUGGAUAUGUACGAGACAGAGGAAGAGAUGGAGGUGGAAACGAAAAAUUAUAUUGAAGAGAUGGAGAUUGAUGUAAAAGACGAGGAGGAGGACAUGGUGUUGGGAUGAAGACCGAUGCCAGCAGCAGAACAGGCAGGUGCUCCCCACAGGCAGAGUGGGUCCCCUGCUGCCAGCCUGGGGCUGGGCUGGGCCCUCCCUGCUCAGGGACACGCUAGCCCAUGCACUGGAUUCUGCUGGCCAUCCCUGGCCUGGCCUGGGCUUGCUUUGGGCCACACAAGCCCUGUUCCAGUGCCUGGGCCACAGCCCCCAGCCAGGCUCCCUUCUGGCAGCAGAGUCCCACUGGGCCAGUGUCCCAGCCCGGGAGCACAUGGAACUCCCUUCCGUGCCUGACUGCACUGACCGUGCUACUUGUUUUUCUUCCAGGACUGAGGCACAUCCUGGACAGAGAUGCCACCCUGCUGUACAUACGUUUUUACAGUUGUUGUGUUCAGAUAGACGUUUUGGAGUUUGCUUACGUGUUGUGUAAUACGUUUCAUGUCAUUUUGUUAUAUAUGUUCUUAGGUAAAUAGGUUCUAUAGUUCGUUGUUGUUAGCAAUAUUCUUACAAUGUAAAUAUGUUGUGCAGUUCAUCCUUGUUCCUUUUCUUCUACAAAUAAACAUUCUUUGUUUUUCA
rnacentral:lncRNA from 1 species